rnacentral:tRNA from 1 species
GGGUGAUUAGCUCAGUUGGCCAGAGCAGCUGACUCUUAAUCAGCGGGCCCGGGGUUCAAAUCCCCGAUCACCCA